CUCCUACUUUUUCUCUCCGUUCCUUUUACAUUUUUUGACCACUUUUCGUUGUGCAGCAGUGAUUUCAUGAUGUGUAAUUUUGGAAAAUUGUCUUCAAAUUAUAAUAAUCUAUGAACUUAAAUGUGCAACAAACUAUUGCAGAAUGAGGCGGUAUUGAGGGCUUGCGCUGAAUCAGAAGCACCAAAAACAUCGGCGACGAGUGCUUCUGCAGUUGAAGGUAGUGCAUGAUGAUUCUUGGGACAAGAAAGACAAUGAACUGCAAGCUCCUCUUUUUGUUUCUAAGCUGACCUUUUUUUCCGAAAAAAUUUUCGGCGUGGAAAGAUGCUUAAGAGAAUCAUUACUCCAGAUCACAACUGGCACAACUUAGGAACUAUUCGUUACUUAUGAAAAGAGUCUCCAUAUAACUGGAAGCACAAGAUAAAUGUAGACGGUAAAGGUAAAGUUGUCUGAUGGAACCCACUACAAUUCCAUUAGCUCUGUUCAAUGACUUGUCCUAACUAUAAGUGGCGAUUCAAGGUGCAGUGUUGUUUGAUGAUGCAUUUUUUAAGUAGAAAAAU